AGGCAGCAGGAGGAUCCACCCAGCGCCAGCGGACCAACCAUGACCUCCAACACUGACAAUCGUCAAGACGGCCCAGGUCCAGUUCUCUCCAGGAUAUCAGCGAGCACCUCUGAGGAGGAUGUUCUCUGUCCUACUCCACCUCUCCCCCCAGGACCUGAUUCUCAGUAUGAGAGAAUCGGAGGCCAAACAGGGGCUUCGUUUUUACAGACCCUGAUCCACCUCCUGAAGGGGAACAUCGGUACGGGGCUGCUAGGUCUACCUCUGGCUGUCAGGAACGCAGGCCUUGUGUUAGGACCUCUGAGUCUGUUUGCCAUGGGGAUAAUAGCAGUCCACUGUAUGAACCUGCUUGUAAUCUGUUCCCACCACCUCAGUGUAAAGUUGAACAAGCCCUUUCUGGACUAUGGCGAUGCUGUGCAGUAUGGUAUGGAGAAUGUCUCGUGGCUGAGAAGGCACUCAAUAUGGGGGAGGCGGAUAGUGAACGUGUUUUUGAUCAUCACCCAGCUGGGUUUCUGCUGUGUCUACUUCGUCUUCCUCAGUGACAAUAUCAAACAGGUAGGGGGACAUGGUGUCAUGUUCAUAUGUGCUUCUCUCCCUCAAACAGAAAUACAUAACAUACCAAAUCGUAUCAGCCUGCCGAAGGUGGGUCAUGCCAAAGACUAUCCUCUCUUCUUUGGAACGGCCAUCUUUGCUUUCGAGGGGAUAGGAGUGGUCCUGCCCCUGGAGAACAAGAUGCAGAAGCCUCAGAGUUUCAAUAUGGUUCUAUAUCUGGGAAUGGGCAUCGUCACCUUCCUCUAUAUCAGCUUGGGGACCAUAGGGUACAUCACCUUUGGAGAGGCCAUAGGGGGAAGUAUCACCCUUAACUUACCCAACUGCUGGAUGUAUCAGAUUGUAAAGCUGCUCUACUGUUUCGGUAUCUACAUCACCUUUGCCCUUCAGUUCUACGUGCCAGCUGAGAUCCUGAUUCCUCCGGUGGUGUCCCGUGUCUCAGAGAGAUGGAAACUGCCGGUAGAUCUUCUGAUCCGCGCUGCGCUCGUUGUUUUUACCUGUGUCCUGGCCAUAUUGAUCCCCCAGCUGGACCUGGUCAUCUCUUUAGUGGGGUCCAUCAGCAGCAGUUUCCUGGCUCUCAUCUUCCCUCCACUCCUCCAGAUCCUCACCUACCACAACGAAGGUCUGUCUCCCUGGGUCAUCGUCAAGAACACCCUGAUCUCUGUCAUCGGCUUCAUCGGCUUCAUCACCGGCACCUAUAUAUCCAUCACAGAGAUCAUCAAACGCAACGGCAGACAUGACAAUCUGGAUGUGACAUUCUUCCAGGUCCAGUGAGAGAUUUAGUGAGGAAGAGGAGGAUAUCUUGACAGUGGUUUGUCUGGCAAACAGUGGAGGCUGGUGGGUGGAGAAAUCUGAGG
rnacentral:lncRNA from 13 species